CCUACGGGAGGCAGCAGUGGGGGAUAUUGCACAAUGGGGGGAACCCUGAUGCAGCGACGCCGCGUGUGGGAAGACGGUCCUCUGGAUUGUAAACCACUGUCCCCAGGGACGAAAAUGACGGUACCUGGGGAGGAAGCUCCGGCUAACUACGUGCCAGCAGCCGCGGUAAUACGUAGGUGGCAAGCGUUGUCCGGAUUUACUGGGUGUAAAGGGCGUGCAGCCGGGAAGACAAGUCAGAUGUGAAAUCCCGCGGCUCAACCGCGGAACUGCAUUUGAAACUGUUUUUCUUGAGUACCGGAGAGGUCAUCGGAAUUCCUUGUGUAGCGGUGAAAUGCGUAGAUAUAAGGAAGAACACCAGUGGCGAAGGCGGAUGACUGGACGGCAACUGACGGUGAGGCGCGAAAGCGUGGGGAGCAAACAGGAUUAGAUACCCGUGUAGUC
rnacentral:rRNA from 1 species